CUCCCAGACUGUGGAGUCAGUCCCCUGACUGUCCCUGCCUGUGCGAGACAGCAGGACCCAGAAGGAGGAGGAGGAGGGCAGGCUGGACAGAGUCACCCGCCCUGGGCAUCCAGCAGGGAACAAAGCCUCCACUCCACCGCUGGCCUGUCCCCAGCAGCCUGGACACCCAGGCCUAGAAACUCCAAGGGCUGAGGCCCUCAGAAGCUUUCUGAUCUCCAUGGCAACGGCCCUGCUGCGCUGCUCAGCUUCCAGUAAACCUCACCAGCAGCUCCCAGAGCCCAGAGCCACAUGGCUGACCACCCACAGCAGCACCUAGCUCAGCACCAACCCUGUCUUCCUGGGACUGGGCCACAGUGUGCAGGGGACAUUGCCUUCCUCCUGGUGGCUUUCAGCCACCGGCUGGUACCUGCUUCUUCAAUGAGGCCCAAAUAUUCAUCACAGAGAAGUGCGGCUGUGGUCUUCUAACCACCCUUUCCCACAUCACUGCCAGUGCCACUCGGAGCCUGUGGCCACCUUGGAAACCUGCCGGUUCCUGUCUCCCCUCCCGCCCCACAGUGAAAGCUACCAUAGCUCCAUCUGCUGCUGGUGUGGCCCUUUUCCCCCUCCUCCAUCCACCUCUCCUGGCUGUCACCCUCCUUCCUGUGGUCCCCUCCACCCUCUCCAUUCCUGUCUUCGGUUCCUCGCCACUGAGAAGGUGUCCUUGACACAAGGCCUCUGCAUGGGCGCCUCUGGGCUUGGAACGCCACACCUGCACUGCUCCCUCAGCUCCUUCUGUUCAGUCAGGACCCCAGGACCCCAUCACCCUGCUAUCCAAACAGGCUUCCCUCCCCCCAGUCACUCCUGCCUACCCAUCCCCACACUUCUGUGCUUCCCAACACCUGUCCAGGUCCAUCGCAUCUUACAUAAUGCCUGCUUUCUUGUUUUGUCUGCUUCCUUUACAAGAAGGUAGGCUCCUGAAAGGUAGCAGCAUGACUGAUGACCACCAGUGUCGCGGUCAGCUUUCCUAUCACCAAAACACAGUGCUAGGCACUCACAGCUGAAAGGAGAAAAGGUCUAACUAGCCACAUCAGAGGAGCCAGUCCAUGGGUUAGCUGAGUCAAAAGCAGAAACAUGGUGGAUGGGACCCAAUGGAGCAGAUACUUAGUUUAUGGUGGCCAGAAAGCAGAGCAGGGGCAGCACCAGACAGGACAGGUCAGCGAUCUCCUAAGGUACAGCGCCUAAGAUCGUGCUCCCGUGACCCGACCAGACACAGCCAGAGUGUCCUUCUAAGUCCUCUAGGUGGCUUGCAAGGCAAUCAGGUCGACAAUCCAGUUUAACUGUCGUGUCACCUGGUAGAGAGUCCCGAACUCUGCAUUUGGGGAAGGAAAGAAAGCAAAAUAUGGACUUGAAGUCAGUGUUCUGCUUUCCAUUUUCCUGGAAAUGUUCUGCAAGACUCAAAGUCAAACCUAAUCUCUGAGAUGAACCAGGCCUCAAGAUUGGGACACUGAGAAGAUGAAACUAAAUUUCCUCUCACACGGCCUCAUGGAGCUGGACAGUCCAGGCUGCAGGAUGCUCUGCUUUGCAUGAUAAGAGAUCCCAACUCUCCCCCCCCACCCCGAGCCAUUCCUCCACCCUGCAGGGCCACACUCCUCAGUGUCGUAGACUGGGUCACCAUCCCAACUGGGUGGCAGCCCAUGGGAGGGAGGAAGAGCACAUGUGGGAGGAGCCACACCCACUGGAGACAGGAGACGGAGGUCUCACGCAGUGCCCAUGCUUCACGGGGCCACAAGGGAGGUUGCAAAGCAGCCCCAAGAGCUGCAUGGCCUCGUGGCCAGGAAGGAAGGAGAGAGAACAUGCCACGGGCCCUGGGCUCCUCGGGUAACAGCCUAUGCAAACGCGGUCUUCCCCGACCCUGCACUGCUAGUAGGUACCAAGGUGAGCAACACAACACAAGCGUGUCAGCAUGGAGCAGCCCCCUCUCUUCCUCCUCACCUUUGAUGCUGAGAACAUAGCCGGAUGCAUUGCUGUGCUAGUACCUUGAUUCUCCCAUUCUGUUCUGCGCUCACCAUGCAAGAACAUGCAAAAAGCACUUGACCUGCAGGGCAUGGUGGGGCAGUCCUGUAGUCCCAGCUAACACAGAGGCUGAGGCUUGAGGAUCACAAGUUUGAGGCCAACCUGGAAAACUCAGAGAGACUUUGUCUCAAAAUAAAAGUAAAAAGCGGAGGGCUGGGUCCUAGCUCAGUGGUGGAGCCCUGGUGUAGCACAGCCAAGUUGCUAGGCUCAGUCUGAAAAAUAAUAAGAAAUAAAAUGCAAUUGACCCGG